GAUGAACGCUGGCGGCGUGCCUAAUACAUGCAAGUCGAGCGAACAGACGAGGAGCUUGCUCCUCUGACGUUAGCGGCGGACGGGUGAGUAACACGUGGAUAACCUACCUAUAAGACUGGGAUAACUUCGGGAAACCGGAGCUAAUACCGGAUAAUAUAUUGAACCGCAUGGUUCAAUAGUGAAAGACGGUUUUGCUGUCACUUAUAGAUGGAUCCGCGCCGCAUUAGCUAGUUGGUAAGGUAACGGCUUACCAAGGCAACGAUGCGUAGCCGACCUGAGAGGGUGAUCGGCCACACUUGAACUGGGACACGGUCCAGACUCCUAAGGGAGGCAGCAAUAGGGAAACUUCCGCAAUGGGCGAAAGCUUGACGGAGCAACGCCGCGUGAGUGAUGAAGGGUUUCGGAUCGUAAAACUCUGUUAAUAGGGAAGAACAAAUGUGGAAGUAACUAUGCACGUCUUGACGGUACCUAAUCAGAAAGCCACGGCUAACUACGUG
rnacentral:rRNA from 1 species